UGAGGAAUAUUGGGCAAUGCCCGCAAGGGUGACCCAGCAACGCCGCGUGGAGGAUGAAUGUCGUAAGAUUGUAAACUCCUGUUAGAGGGGAAGAAUAGUACCGGUUGGACCGGUAUAUGACUGUACCCUCAGAGAAAGCCCCGGCUAACUACGUGCCAGCAGCCGCGGUAAUACGUAGGGGGCAAGCGUUGUCCGGAUUUACUGGGUGUAAAGGGCGCGCAGGCGGGAUAAAAAGUCAGUGGUGAAAUCCUACAGCUUAACUGUAGAACUGCCUUUGAUACUGUUAUUCUUGAGUUCGGGAGAGAGAGACGGAAUUCCAGGUGUAGUGGUGAAAUACGUAGAUAUCUGGAAGAACACCAGUUGCGAAGGCGGUCUCUUGGUCCGACACUGACGCUGAGGCGCGAAAGCGUGGGGAGCAAACA
rnacentral:rRNA from 1 species